GGGUUGUGAGGUUAAGCGACUAAGCGUACACGGUGGAUGCCCUGGCAGUCAGAGGCGAUGAAGGGCGUGCUAAUCUGCGAUAAGCGCCGGUAAGGUGAUAUGAACCGUUAUAACCGGCGAUACCCGAAUGGGGAAACCCAGUGUGAUUCGUCACACUAUCAUUAACUGAAUCCAUAGGUUAAUGAGGCGAACCGGGGGAACUGAAACAUCUAAGUACCCCGAGGAAAAGAAAUCAACCGAGAUUCCCCCAGUAGCGGCGAGCGAACGGGGAGGAGCCCAGAGCCUGAAUCAGCAUGUGUGUUAGUGGAAGCGUCUGGAAAGGCGCGCGAUACAGGGUGACAGCCCCGUACACAAAAGCGCAUGUGCUGUGAGCUCGAUGAGUAGGGCGGGACACGUGGUAUCCUGUCUGAAUAUGGGGGGACCAUCCUCCAAGGCUAAAUACUCCUGACUGACCGAUAGUGAACCAGUACCGUGAGGGAAAGGCGAAAAGAACCCCGGCGAGGGGAGUGAAAAAGAACCUGAAACCGUGUACGUACAAGCAGUGGGAGCACCCUUUGGGUGUGACUGCGUACCUUUUGUAUAAUGGGUCAGCGACUUAUAUUCUGUAGCAAGGUUAACCGAAUAGGGGAGCCGGAGGGAAACCGAGUCUUAACCGGGCGUUAAGUUGCAGGGUAUAGACCCGAAACCCGGUGAUCUAGCCAUGGGCAGGUUGAAGGUUGGGUAACACUAACUGGAGGACCGAACCGACUAAUGUUGAAAAAUUAGCGGAUGACCUGUGGCUGGGGGUGAAAGGCCAAUCAAACCGGGAGAUAGCUGGUUCUCCCCGAAAGCUAUUUAGGUAGCGCCUCGUGAAUUCAUCUCCGGGGGUAGAGCACUGUUUCGGCUAGGGGGCCAUCCCGGCUUACCAACCCGAUGCAAACUGCGAAUACCGGAGAAUGUUAUCACGGGAGACACACGGCGGGUGCUAACGUCCGUCGUGAAGAGGGAAACAACCCAGACCGCCAGCUAAGGUCCCAAAGUCAUGGUUAAGUGGGAAACGAUGUGGGAAGGCCCAGACAGCCAGGAUGUUGGCUUAGAAGCAGCCAUCAUUUAAAGAAAGCGUAAUAGCUCACUGGUCGAGUCGGCCUGCGCGGAAGAUGUAACGGGGCUAAACCAUGCACCGAAGCUGCGGCAGCGACACUGUGUGUUGUUGGGUAGGGGAGCGUUCUGUAAGCCUGUGAAGGUGUGUCGUGAGGCAUGCUGGAGGUAUCAGAAGUGCGAAUGCUGACAUAAGUA
rnacentral:rRNA from 2 species